rnacentral:rRNA from 1 species
AAAUUGAAGAGUUUGAUCAUGGCUCAGAUUGAACGCUGGCGGCAGGCCUAACACAUGCAAGUCGAGCGGUAGCACAGAGAGCUUGCUCUCGGGUGACGAGCGGCGGACGGGUGAGUAAUGUCUGGGAAACUGCCUGAUGGAGGGGGAUAACUACUGGAAACGGUAGCUAAUACCGCAUAACGUCGCAAGACCAAAGUGGGGGACCUUCGGGCCUCAUGCCAUCAGAUGUGCCCAGAUGGGAUUAGCUAGUAGGUGGGGUAACGGCUCACCUAGGCGACGAUCCCUAGCUGGUCUGAGAGGAUGACCAGCCACACUGGAACUGAGACACGGUCCAGACUCCUACGGGAGGCAGCAGUGGGGAAUAUUGCACAAUGGGCGCAAGCCUGAUGCAGCCAUGCCGCGUGUGUGAAGAAGGCCUUCGGGUUGUAAAGCACUUUCAGCGGGGAGGAAGGCGGUGAGGUUAAUAACCUCACCGAUUGACGUUACCCGCAGAAGAAGCACCGGCUAACUCCGUGCCAGCAGCCGCGGUAAUACGGAGGGUGCAAGCGUUAAUCGGAAUUACUGGGCGUAAAGCGCACGCAGGCGGUCUGUCAAGUCGGAUGUGAAAUCCCCGGGCUCAACCUGGGAACUGCAUUCGAAACUGGCAGGCUAGAGUCUUGUAGAGGGGGGUAGAAUUCCAGGUGUAGCGGUGAAAUGCGUAGAGAUCUGGAGGAAUACCGGUGGCGAAGGCGGCCCCCUGGACAAAGACUGACGCUCAGGUGCGAAAGCGUGGGGAGCAAACAGGAUUAGAUACCCUGGUAGUCCACGCCGUAAACGAUGUCGAUUUGGAGGUUGUGCCCUUGAGGCGUGGCUUCCGGAGCUAACGCGUUAAAUCGACCGCCUGGGGAGUACGGCCGCAAGGUUAAAACUCAAAUGAAUUGACGGGGGCCCGCACAAGCGGUGGAGCAUGUGGUUUAAUUCGAUGCAACGCGAAGAACCUUACCUGGUCUUGACAUCCACAGAACUUUCCAGAGAUGGAUUGGUGCCUUCGGGAACUGUGAGACAGGUGCUGCAUGGCUGUCGUCAGCUCGUGUUGUGAAAUGUUGGGUUAAGUCCCGCAACGAGCGCAACCCUUAUCCUUUGUUGCCAGCGGU